rnacentral:rRNA from 1 species
UACGUAGGGUGCAAGCGUUAAUCGGAAUUACUGGGCGUAAAGCGUGCGCAGGCGGUUAUGUAAGACAGUUGUGAAAUCCCCGGGCUCAAACUGGGAACUGCAUCUGUGACUGCAUAGCUAGAGUACGGUAGAGGGGGAUGGAAUUCCGCGUGUAGCAGUGAAAUGCGUAGAUAUGCGGAGGAACACCGAUGGCGAAGGCAAUCCCCUGGACCUGUACUGACGCUCAUGCACGAAAGCGUGGGGAGCAAACAGG